AGGGUGCUGACCACAGAGUGCCAUGAAACGUACUUCUGAACUUCCAGAUCUGUGUGUACUUACCUUCUCCACACGGAUUCUGAAUUCUCCCAACAUGCUGAACCCAGUAAGAGACUGCAUUUCAGAGGGACCACUUCGUGAUCACACAGAACCAGCCUUCGCUGGGACACGAUCUGAAUGACAUCAUCAGGUAGAUAUCGAGACUUCACAGGAGAUGCUGGGAAGGAAUGAGUACAAAGAAGAGAAAGAUACCGACUGGAAGGAACACAGAGAGACCAAGGUUAACUUCAGCAGUCUAUUCUAAUGCUUUAGGUAUCCUGUGAAUGUUGAAUGUUCUGUUUCAGAUCACCGGACCCUUACAUUAUAAGAUAAAGAUUAUAAACAGACAAAAAGUAAAGACCAGGAGGAAAACAAGCCUCCAGAGAUGAGGGCUGAUUUGCCCCCUUUUACUGGAGUCAUCGCGCAACUACAUCCCUUAAUGAAACCUAUAGAGUUUCGUCAUCGGAGCAAAUUUCUGGAUUGAGAGACUAGUUCAGUCUCACCCUUCUGUACUGGGAACCACAGUGGCCAACCUGGCCUGCCCUCUCCGGCAUGACCUUUGGCUGCUACUUCUGAGCAAUGGUCCCAAGGGAAGAACCUUAAGAAUAUCUGACUCACUUUCUAUUGAUAAGUAAACAAAGUGGUCUAUGCACAGUCUAAGGCUGGUCUGGAAGUUCUCCAAGCUCCUUCUGCUGCCCCAUCCCUGCCUUUUGAGAUGCUUAGAGUCUGACCAGGGAGUUUCAUAGAUAUGGACUUAACAUGUAUAAAAUGAGAAGUAACUAUUAAAAGACUAGGAUUUCCUGGCCUCACAUAGCUUUGAGAAUUUUAUUCACUUAUUCACUCAUGCAGGAGAUGGUUCCUGUUUGUCCACUGAAUUUAGCUGCUUUCCCUGCAGUGGCUCACAACUACUUUUGGAAAACCCACAC
rnacentral:lncRNA from 1 species